rnacentral:rRNA from 1 species
GAGUUUGAUCCUGGCUCAGGACGAACGCUGGCGGCGUGCUUAACACAUGCAAGUCGUACGAGAAAGUGGAGCAAUCCAUGAGUAAAGUGGCGACCGGGUGAGUAACACGUGACUACCUACCUUCUAGUGGGGGAUAACUCCGGGAAACCGGAGCUAAUACCGCAUAACAUCGCAAGAUCAAAGCAGCAAUGCGCUGGAAGAGGGGGUCGCGGCUGAUUAGCUUGUUGGCGGGGUAAUGGCCCACCAAGGCAAAGAUCGGUAUCCGGCCUGAGAGGGCGCACGGACACACUGGAACUGAAACACGGUCCAGACUCCUACGGGAGGCAGCAGUGGGGAAUUUUGCGCAAUGGGGGAAACCCUGACGCAGCAACGCCGCGUGGAGGAUGAAGUCCCUUGGGACGUAAACUCCUUUCGACCAAGACGAUAAUGACGGUACUGGUGGAAGAAGCACCGGCUAACUCUGUGCCAGCAGCCGCGGUAAUACG